rnacentral:rRNA from 1 species
GAUGAACGCUGGCGGCGUGCCUAAUACAUGCAAGUAGAACGCUGAAGGAGGAGCUUGCUCUUCUGGAUGAGUUGCGAACGGGUGAGUAACGCGUAGGUAACCUGCCUGGUAGCGGGGGAUAACUAUUGGAAACGAUAGCUAAUACCGCAUGACAACAGUUAUUGCAUGAUAACUGUUUAAAAGGGGCAACUGCUCCACUACCAGAUGGACCUGCGUUGUAUUAGCUAGUUGGUGAGGUAACGGCUCACCAAGGCGACGAUACAUAGCCGACCUGAGAGGGGGGUCGGCCACACUGGGACUGUGACACGGCCCAGACUCCUACGGGAGGCAGCAGUAGGGAAUCUUCGGCAAUGGACGGAAGUCUGACCGAGCAACGCCGCGUGAGUGAAGAAGGUUUUCGGAUCGUAAAGCUCUGUUGUAAGAGAAGAACGAGUGUGAGAGUGGAAAGUUCACACUGUGACGGUAUCUUACCAGAAAGGGACGGCUAACUACGUG